AGGAUGUGGGCCACAGAGCCCGGGCUCCGUCACUGGUCUGGUCCCCAGGCCGGCCACAAUGACAGUCGGGUUUCAUGGUGGAAAGAGAAACUCAGGUCCAUUUACUUAGCACACUGCUCCAACCCAUCUCUUCCACUUCCUCUCCCUUCUCCUCAACCUUCUCUUCCCUCCCGUUCUCCUCCUCCCUCCUCCCCCCAUCCCCCCUACCCCGCCUCGGCCUUCCUGUGGUAUGUGACCCAGCAUUCGGAAGGUGGACUCCCGAUGUCAUUAAACAGGUCAAAGACGUGUUAGCAGUCGGUGUAACGCCUGGGCUAGAUCAAGUUAUCCGGUCUCUUUACGGAGGGAGAAAAGCCCACCCUACAGCUCGAGAUACGCAUUUAUGGCAACAAUGGAAACUUUAUUCAUGAAAAGCGAUUCCUGGGCACCAAGGAAAAGAAAAUUGGAACAAAGCAAUAAACAAGCUUUGCUCUGGGAAAGCGGCGAGAGUC